rnacentral:rRNA from 1 species
AAACCAACAGGGAUUGCCUCAGUAGCGGCGAGUGAAGCGGCAAGAGCUCAGAUUUGAAAUCGCAGCGCAUGCUGCGAGUUGUAGAUUGCAGGUGGGAGAGUCUGCGUAGGCCGGUGUCGAAGUCCCUUGGAACAGGGCGCCACUGAGGGUGAGAGCCCCGUGCGAUGCCACGCUCUACGUUUUGUAUUCCCCUCUGACGAGUCGAGUUGUUUGGGAAUGCAGCUCUAAGUGGGUGGUAAAUUCCAUCUAAGGCUAAAUACUGGCGAGAGACCGAUAGCGAACAAGUACUGUGAAGGAAAGAUGAAAAGCACUUUGAAAAGAGAGUGAAACAGCACGUGAAAUUGUUGAAAGGGAAGGGUAUUGGGCCCGACAUGGGAAUCGCGCACCGCUGCUCCUUGUGGGCGGCGCUCUGGGCUUUUCCUGGGCCAGCAUCGGUUCUUGCUGCAGGAGAAGGGGCUGUGGAAUGUGGCUGCCGCGUCG